GGAGGGUGCAAGCGUUAUCCGGAUUCACUGGGUUUAAAGGGUGCGUAGGAGGGCAGGUAAGUCAGUGGUGAAAUCUCCAAGCUUAACUUGGAAACUGCCGUUGAUACUAUCUGUCUUGAAUAUUGUGGAGGUGAGCGGAAUAUGUCAUGUAGCGGUGAAAUGCUUAGAUAUGACAUAGAACACCAAUUGCGAAGGCAGCUCGCUACUCAAUUAUUGACUCUGAGGCACGAAAGCGUGGGGAUCAAACAGGAUUAGAUACCCUGGUAGUCCACGCCCUAAACUAUGGAUACUCGACAUACGCGAUAUACAGUGUGUGUCUGAGCGAAAGCAUUAAGUAUCCCACCUGGGAAGUACGACCGCAAGGUUGAA
rnacentral:rRNA from 1 species